rnacentral:tRNA from 1 species
GCCGUCGCAGACUCGAUUGGAGUGGGUCACUGGCUUCUCACGCCAGGUGGAGCGGGUUCGAAUCCCGUCGACGGUG